GACAUAGGGUGCAAACGUUGUUCGGAAUUACUGGGCGUAAAGCGCGUGUAGGCGGUUACGUGUGUCGGGCGUGAAAUCCCAUGGCUCAACCAUGGAAGUGCACCCGAAACUGCGUGGCUAGAGUCCUGGAGAGGAAGGUGGAAUGCUUGGUGUAGUGGUGGAAUGCGUAGAUAUCGGGAGGAACACCAGUGGCGAAGGCGGUUGCCUGGAGCUUUGCUGACGCUGAGGCGCGAAAGCGUGGGGAGCGAACCGG
rnacentral:rRNA from 1 species